rnacentral:rRNA from 1 species
AUACGUAGGGUACGAGCGUUGUCCGGAAUUACUGGGCGUAAAGAGCUCGUAGGUGGUUUGUCGCGUCGUCUGUGAAAUUCCGGGGCUUAACUCCGGGCGUGCAGGCGAUACGGGCAUAACUUGAGUACUGUAGGGGAGACUGGAAUUCCUGGUGUAGCGGUGAAAUGCGCAGAUAUCAGGAGGAACACCGGUGGCGAAGGCGGGUCUCUGGGCAGUAACUGACGCUGAGGAGCGAAAGCAUGGGUAGCGAACAGGAUUAGAUGCCCGGGUAGUCCAUGCCGUAAACGGUGGGCGCUAGGUGUAGGGGUCUUCCACGACUUCUGUGCCGUAGCUAACGCAUUAAGCGCCCCGCCUGGGGAGUACGGCCGCAAGGCUAAAACUCAAAUGAAUUGACGGGG